AACGAACGCUGGCGGCGCGCCUAAUACAUGCAAGUCGAGCGAGAAGACGUAGCAAUACGUUUGUAAAGCGGCGAACGGGUGAGGAAUACAUGGGUAACCUACCCUCGAGUGGGGAAGUAACUAGCCGAAAGGUUAGCUAAUACCGCGCACGCUCCUUGGACUUCGGUUCAGGGAGGAAAGCGAUACCGUGGGUAGUCGCGCUCUUGGAUGGGCGUCAUGUCCUAUCAGCUUGUUGGUGAGGUAACGGCUCACCAAGGCUUCGACGGGUA
rnacentral:rRNA from 1 species